GAAGAACCACAAGGGAGACUGCAUCUUGCUCUCUAUCAAAAUCCAGAAUGAAAAUGAUACUAUAUCGUUUUGCUUUCGCAGGUAGGAAGUUUUGCUUCAUUGUGAUGAGGUUCUGGCAUAUGUCCACUGCUGAUGUUCCUGAGGACCAGGAGAGUACCAAGAUCUUCAAAAUGGCCACCACUGAAGAAGACCGCCCACAGAAGAAGAUAGUGACAGCUGUCUAUGAGUAAGCAUGGCAUCCAAGACUAAUCAAUAUUCAUUUCAU
rnacentral:lncRNA from 1 species